rnacentral:tRNA from 1 species
GGUUGUGGCUCAGUGGUUGAGCGUUUGCCUCACAUGUGUGAGGCACUGGGUUUGAUCCUCAGCACCA